rnacentral:rRNA from 1 species
GAUGGAAGCUUGCUUCUAUCAAUCUUAGUGGCGAACGGGUGAGUAACGCGUAAUCAACCUGCCCUUCAGAGGGGGACAACAGUUGGAAACGACUGCUAAUACCGCAUACGAUCCAAUCUCGGCAUCGAGACUGGAUGAAAGGUGGCCUCUAUUUAUAAGCUAUCACUGAAGGAGGGGAUUGCGUCUGAUUAGCUAGUUGGAGGGGUAACGGCCCACCAAGGCGAUGAUCAGUAGCCGGUCUGAGAGGAUGAACGGCCACAUUGGGACUGAGACACGGCCCAGACUCCUACGGGAGGCAGCAGUGGGGAAUCUUCCGCAAUGGACGAAAGUCUGACGGAGCAACGCCGCGUGAGUGAUGACGGCCUUCGGGUUGUAAAGCUCUGUUAAUCGGGACGAAUGGUUCUUGUGCGAAUAGUGCGAGGAUUUGACGGUACCGGAAUAGAAAGCCACGGCUAACUACGUGCCAGCAGCCGCGGUAAUACGUAGGUGGCAAGCGUUGUCCGGAAUUAUUGGGCGUAAAGCGCGCGCAGGCGGAUUGGUCAGUCUGUCUUAAAAGUUCGGGGCUUAACCCCGUGAUGGGAUGGAAACUGCCAAUCUAGAGUAUCGGAGAGGAAAGUGGAAUUCCUAGUGUAGCGGUGAAAUGCGUAGAUAUUAGGAAGAACACC